rnacentral:rRNA from 1 species
UACGUAGGGGGCAAGCGUUGUCCGGAUUUAUUGGGCGUAAAGAGCGUGUAGGCGGCUUUACAGGUCCGUUGUGAAAACUCGAGGCUCAACCUCGAGACGCCGGUGGAAACCGUAAGGCUAGAGUCCGGAAGAGGAGAGUGGAAUUCCUGGUGUAGCGGUGAAAUGCGCAGAGUAUCAGGAGGAACACCGAUUGCGAAGGCAGCUCGCUGGGACGUUACUGACGCUGAGCGCGAAAGCGUGGGGAGCAAACAGG